GAUGAACGCUGGCGGCGUGCCUAAUACAUGCAAGUCGAGCGAACAGACGAGGAGCUUGCUCCUCUGACGUUAGCGGCGGACGGGUGAGUAACACGUGGAUAACCUACCUAUAAGACUGGGAUAACUUCGGGAAACCGGAGCUAAUACCGGAUAAUAUAUUGAACCGCAUGGUUCAAUAGUGAAAGACGGUUUUGCUGUCACUUAUAGAUGGAUCCGCGCCGCAUUAGCUAGUUGGUAAGGUAACGGCUUACCAAGGCAACGAUGCGUAGCCGACCUGAGAGGGUGACAGGCAACAGAGGAGAGGAGCCAGGGACAAGCCUCCUGGGGGAGGAGCAAGUGGGCGUUCUUCGGGAAAGGGCGAAAGCCGAACGAAACAGCCCGGGGGGAGUAAUAAAGUUCUCCGGAUCGAAAAACUCUUUUAUGGGGAAAAAAAAAAUGUGAAAUUAAAACUGCGCGUCUUAGCGGUACCAAAUAGAAAGCCCAGGAAAAACUAGGUC
rnacentral:rRNA from 1 species